GUCUUCAUGGUGUAGUGGUGAGCAUGCUCGAAGCGAAACCAAGAGGUCCGUGGUUCGAUUCCCGGUGAAGGCG
rnacentral:tRNA from 1 species